AACCGUCAGCGAAACAAAUUAACUAUCCACCGCCGCGGACGCUAGCGCUCGAGCUCUCGCGCCUCGCCGCCGUCCUCCCUCUGCGCCGGCGACCUCGCGCCUCGCCGCCGUCCUCCCUCUCCCCCUCCCGCACCCGGCGGAGACCUCCCUCCCGCACCCGCGGCGAGUUCGUGCCGCGCCGGCCGCCUCUCCCCCGCGCCGCCACGCCCACCUCGCCCCGUGCCGCGCCGGCCGUCGUGCCCGCCUGCCUCGCCGGCGCCGUGCCCGGUGCGCCAUCCCCGCCGUGCCAGGGGAUUGACAAGACCGCUAGAGAGAGGGAGACCGCAGUGCGGAGAUGGGUUGAGGAAGAUGGAGGGAGAAAGCGGGCAGCUUGGUGGAUCUCGUCACCGCGCAUCCGCCGCUGCUCACUUGGGCCGCUCCUCCUGAGAGGCUCAGCGCCUCCACCAGAUGUCGAGGUCCAAGAGGUUUCAGCGGUGGCGGGAGGAAGAGGAGGAAUUCGAUGAAGAUGAUGUUGUCUUCCUUGGUGCUAUGCUUGCGGCAUUGAAGAGGAAGAAGAACAAGAAAAAGUUUCGCGGAUCUUUACCGGGCCGCCACAACGUGCCACGAGAUAUCCUAGGCGGUCACGAGAAGAUUUACUGGGAUUACUUCGCUGACAAGCCUAUUUAUAACGAAAAUCAUUUCGGAAGGUGCCUUGCUGACGGGAUUACCAUGGGGUAUUACCUUGCUGACGGGAUAUACCCCGCAUGGGCAUCACUUGUGAAAGCUUUUCGCAACCCGCAAGGUAACAAGAAGGUGCAUUUCACAACAGUGCAAGAAUUUUACAGGAAGGACAUAGAACGAGCCUUCCGGGGUACUACAAUCAUGAUUCGCCAUGAUUCGAGGCCCUGCUAGAUGGUGGAGCAAAGGAGAUCUCUGGUACAUAAUGAUGUGUUGUGUUAUCUUACACAACAUGAUAAUAGAGGAUGAGCGAGAAGAGGAUGAGAACUUUAACUACUACCAGGAGCCGGUACUACAUAAUGAUGUCUGAUGCAGCCUGCUGAAAUAUUCUGCAUUAUAGCUCUGAUUGAACUGAUCUACAGGUUGCCACACAACAAGCAGAAAGCAGUAGUACAACACCAAAGGAAGAUCACUAGCAGUUCAACAUAGCUUCAACAGUAGUACAAUUUCAGCAUACUGCACUCCAAAUGCCUUGCAUUAUAGCACUGUAAAUAUUGCUGAACUAUACAAGGUGCUCAACCUUGCUGACAAUUGAGCUUGUUGUGUUUUUUGUCUUGAAUGUAAAAUACCCAUCUCUUGUACCUUCUAUUAUUUUUCUGAACAUAAAGAAACACAUUUGUAUUCCAGCUUUGUCAAAAUCCUGAACUUUUCUGGAUGAUAUUCAGACAAAUGCUGUGU